GCGUGGUGCAGCAGUCCCUGGUUUUGUGGGAGAUUGUAUGAAACAAGGGAUGGAAACAGAGAGAAAUUUGGUGAACGGGAACCUUCCUUUUCCUCUACACACCACCGUGCCUUGUCCUGGGAAUAACCACUAGGACUCAGGGUAGCCCACUGUCUGCUUGUGCCUGGAGGCUCCAGGUCAGCACUCUGCAUAACUCAUCCCUGAUCUGCUAACACAGGGAACUAUAAAUAAAUGGUGACACCGGGGAGCGGCGGAGGACGCGGGAAGGGACUGUGCUUCUCAGCCUGAGACAGUCAGUCUAUUCACCUUAUCCAACAGAAGUUAUCGUGAAACACCUUCAAGAGAGAAGCCCUGUCUUCUCGGCUGAGAGAGUCUUUGAUGUCCAGCACUGCACUCAGAUGUUCCUUCCUUUCCAAAAGGCCAUUUCAUCCAACCUUCACCUUUAUGGAAGGACAUCUCAACUCUGCUGGUUGAUGUCUGGCAAAGUUAUAAACCUUGUUAAUCAGCACCUGCAAAUGGGCAGCAUCAAGUGCAUUCAAAGGGUGGGAAAAAAGAAACUGGGGUGUAACCACAAGCCGCUUCCAGGGGACCUGGGCAGCUGAUUUCAGCAGUGCAGAAUCCCCUCCUGCAUUUCUUCUGGAAAAGAAGGCAAAUGUACCUAAUUUUUCCCCACCUCACCUGUCCUCUCAAGGCCAUUUUGCCCCAUGGGAAGUUGUUUCUUUCCAGAAGUAAGCACAGCCCUAUACCUAUGUGGAAACAAGCUCUGUUGGCCAGACAUGCUGGCAUUUCUGCUGCCCUGGAACAAGCCCAAGGACAGCAAACCAACCUUGGGGAAACGGUGGGGGGACACAGAUCCUCUCACAGAAAAAACAGAACAAAUGGGAAGCAGGACUGGACACUGUGAAGGAUAUGACAUGGCUGGUAGAUGCUGCCUGCGGUCAGCUCCAUCUGAACACGCAGAAGAAAACACCCAGAAACACAGAGCAUUUUUAGCAAAACCAGAAGCAGCAGAAUGCGGCUGAACUUCUGAGAGAGAGCUUCAGGUCUUGCUCAUAUUUUUCAUUGGUGCAGUAAUGCGAUUAAAUUGCUUCUCUGAAUUAUUGAUGCCAUCACGUCAACAGAGACUCUCUGACAAAGCAAACCCAGAGAACAGGCUGCCAAAGUGGGGCAGGAGAAGCCCAGGUUCCCCUGAUCUCCACGGGACAUUAGGAACAGCAGGCUGCAUCCUCAGUGCAGCUUACCUCUGCAUCAAACAUAAAUUAAAGAUAAUAGUAAUAUUCAAAGACAGCCUUCUCUCUCUUCCUCCGCACUGCAGACACACAGCAUGUGUAGCUCUACGCAGUGCAAAAGCUGUACUCAGCUCCUAAGGCACUGGCUUUGUAAGGCUUCAUACUUGGCAAGCUCAGUAUUACAAAAUGCUAAUUAAUUUGAUGGUGUCAGAUUUAGUUAAGCACUAUAUAGACAGGCAAGGUUGGAGGUAAGCAGCCCACAACCUAAAAGGACAAAAAAGAGGUGUCUCAUCAGCGAUGCUUAAGUGCUUUUGACAUGUACUGCUUUUAGGAGACAAGGAACGUAUUUCCUAAUGUGCUUUAAGGACAGAGGGGAAGGAAGAGCCCGAAGAGAGGGCAGAGCAGGGCAGGGAGCAGGUGCAGCCUGUGCAGCAACUGCAUGAUAAAUUCAGUCUGCAGCAGAGGACAUAUUUUGCAUGUGUAACUGUGUACCUCAUUUGACUGAGGAUCAGGCUGUCCUCUGCAAAUUGCUUAUGCAUUCCCUUCCCAAGGUUUCUGGUGCUCCCACAUCAAUAAGAAAAAGAACAGACUGAGGACACAAGGGAAACAGUGCUAAGCAGAUGCAGACUUUUCUUCACCCAAGCUGAAUGUAGGGGUUUAGUAGAUAAUUAGAUUUCCUGUAUCUCCUUUACACUAUAAAACCAGCUUUCCUUGCACAUGACAUUCAGAGCUGAUGCUGAGCACAGCAUUACUGGUAAACUUUAGAAUUAAGAUUAGAGAAUCCUCCUGCUAUUCCCAAUGGCUCAAUUGCUCAAAGCUUUGACUUGUCGAUGACUGAUCACUCCAGGAGAGUUGGGUCUUCAGCUAAAGCUCUGGCAGCUUCCAUCUUUCCACCAUGAAACUAAUGCAUUAAUUGUAAUGGAUCUGAGAGGUUUUUAGAGGAGCCUAUAGAAAAUCUUUUUUUUUUUUUUUUUUUCAUUCUUUGGACAAUGUAAGAAUUACUGACAAAUGACUUGUGGGGGGACUCAUCUGGGAGAAAACAGAUUUCCAGUCCCUAGCACUUAAAUUAACAAGUCAUGAGAAUGACUCAGAAUUGGUGAAAUUAUUAAAACCAAUAAAGCCAGACUUUUUUAUCUGCUCUGUCAUAUCUCAGUCCUGUUACCAGACUACCAGCCUCUUAGGAAGUGCAUUGCCUGGGUGCUCUCAGCCCGCAUUUUCAAAAGAGCUGGGCCAGGGCCAUAGCAUGGCUGGAGUGGCCGCAGGAGGAGCUGCUGCUGGCAUUGCAGUCCUUGCCUUAGGUCAGCACGGUACACAUGUGACAGCCUGGUGGCAUCCACAGAUGCUAUGUGCAGCAUGGCCAAUUACAUGGGAUUAGGAAUUCAGCAAAGAGGCUUUUUUAAGCUUCCAAAGUUGCUUCUGCAAAUCAGACCUAGCAUUUUUCCAAGAGUUUUCUUCAAAGGUGUGGCUCUGCUUUUACACCCCAUCUACCCCUCUUGCAAUGCACCUUUACCUUUACCUGCAGGUGCUUACCCUGCAGGAGGACUCGAUCCUCCUUGCAGCUGUCACCAACCACAACAGCAUCAGCAUGUUUCUGCCCAUGAGGAAAAGCUGCAGCACAGGGAAAUGGCUCGCUCAGCCAUCAGCGCAGCUCUGAGGGGCUGGGAAGGUCCUGCAGGAGGGAGGAGGCCAGAUGACACCACAUACCCCAUCUCCAGGGAGCAGCAGCCUACGGGGCCCUCCACAAAGAAGGUGAAGAUGUGGAGCAGAUGAUGUGGGUCAUCACGCCAGAGGGUCAAGGGAGAACACUAGGGGGAACACAAGUCUUCCUCCUCUGUACUGCCAGGCCACAUACCAAAGGCUUGCCUGGGGGAGCUGACAGUUUCGGAGCUGUCUCACCAGCUCAGAGGAGCACGCCUCAUCCUUAUUUCGGUGGCAGAGUGCGAAACUUGCCUCCUCUAGUCACACAUUUCAAAACUAUACACUAACAGCUUCUGGCAGAUCAGAGGGGCCAUCAGCACAUCUGAUUGUCAUUUCUGUGAAGCUGGAUACCACUGCGGUAAGACCUCUUAAGCUUUUCUGUUGCUUUCAGAGCUUUUUCCUCUGCUGGUACUGUUCUUGAUGACAGAGAGCAAAACUGUAACCAUAUCAAAGACUUACUAAGCA